CAUACCAAGAGAGAGAGAGAGAGAGAGAGAGAAAGAGAGAUUAUUAAUCUCUCGUAAAUUUCGUCGAAUAACAGAUGCAAUCUUUGUCGCGCGAUACAGUGUCGCGCGAUAAGUUUGAAAAUUCUUGGAAAAUUUCUGCAAAAUAACGCUAAGUCGGUAACGACUGUCGUUACUAUGUAUGUACGAUGACUGGCCGUGUCAUUAAGCGCACACAGUCGUACGACUGUGCAGCGGCAGCGGCAGCGCCGCCGUGUGCAACGGUGCACUUUGUGCACCGCAGACGAAAUAAACCGCGCGCGCGCGUUUAGCGAGAAGACCGAGAGCGAGAAGAUUAAUCCACACCACCCCCCGCCGUUGCUGCUGCUGCCGCCCGCCGACCGGCUGGCCAACGGCCGAUCCGUUUCCGAGAGUAAUCGUAGACGUUGUUUCUGUCAAAUAAUCCGCAUCGACGCUGUGCAAUUUGAGUGCGAGCUCUUGGAACGUAAAUAUAUCCACGAUUAAUCAUCGAGGCGUAUAUAUACGAGCAGAGUUCGAGAGGCGAGUUCGAGAGGCGAGAUGCGCACAAGGGAAGGAGACAAGCGACUUAAGGGAGUUGAAACGUGACCGGGUAUUCGGUUGCCUGUCUCUCGACAAUGAUUCAUCACAAGUCACAAUCGAUCGAUCUGACACGUUAAUAAUGACUGCCACGUGCAAGGAAGAGAUGGAAAAGACUCAGCUAGCAUCCCCCUGCUUCCCUCUGCUUCAAAUGACUCUGCUUCAAAUGCAACGGCCUCGUCGAGAGUGAGGCAGAUUCUGAGAACCUGUACCGAAACCGGUAUUCGAAUGUGUAGGUAUCUUCUUACAUCACCGGGACUACCGGGCAUCUUUGACCACCGUGACGCCAUAUGAUCUUUCGCCGUUAAUCUUUCGAUGUGACCUCGAGGAGGGUCGUGCGCGCGCGCGCGAAUUAUUCAGACAACAAACGAACGAGAGUAGAAACAUGUACUGUAAGACGCGUUAAAAUCAUCCUAUCCUAAACGUGCUAAGGUAAGUAAAGGUGCUGUCGAAGGCUCUCAAGAACCAUCCGAUAUCGAUCUGAUAUCGACCUGAUAUCGACGGCAAUGACUGUAAAUUCAAGAGUAAUGCAACAAUAAAAGAUCGUGUCCGUUCUA